rnacentral:rRNA from 1 species
GACGUUGGAGGCGAGCGUUGUCCGGAUUCAUUGGGCGUAAAGAGCACGCAGGCGGUUUGGCAAGUCGGAUGUGAAAACCCGAAGCUCAACUUCGGACCUGCAUCCGAAACUGCCCGACUAGAGGUAGGUAGGGGAGAUCGGAAUUCCUGGUGUAGCGGUGAAAUGCGCAGAUAUCAGGAGGAACACCGGUGGCGAAGGCGGAUCUCUGGGCCUUACCUGACGCUCAGGUGCGAAAGCUAGGGGAGCGAACAGG